rnacentral:rRNA from 1 species
AAUGAACGCUGGCGGCGUGCUUAACACAUGCAAGUCGAACGAGAAAGCUUUAGCUUGCUAGAGCGAGUAAAGUGGCGCACGGGUGAGUAACGCGUGGGUAAUCUGCCCUUGAAUUUGGGAUAACACUUCGAAAGGAGUGCUAAUACCGGAUAACAUCUUUUUUAUUGAGGUAAGAAAGAUCAAAGAUAGCCUCUUCCUGAAAGCUAUUGUUUGAGGAUGAGCCCGCGUACCAUUAGCUUGUUGGUGGGGUAAAGGCCUACCAAGGCGACGAUGGUUAGCUGGUCUGAGAGGAUGAUCAGCCACACUGGAACUGGAACACGGUCCAGACUCCUACGGGAGGCAGCAGUGAGGAAUUUUGCGCAAUGGGCGAAAGCCUGACGCAGCAACGCCGCGUGAGUGAUGAAGGAUUUCGGUUCGUAAAGCUCUGUCAAGUGGGAAGAAGUUAUCAUAUAUUAAUAGUGUAUGGUAU